AUGCUUAGUAGCGGCGAGUGAGCGGCAAAAGCUCAAAUUUGAAAUCUGGCGCCUUCGGUGUCCGAGUUGUAAUUUGAAGAUUGUAACCUUGGGGUUGGCUCUUGUCUAUGUUUCUUGGAACAGGACGUCACAGAGGGUGAGAAUCCCGUGCGAUGAGAUGCCCAAUUCUAUGUAAGGUGCUUUCGAAGAGUCGAGUUGUUUGGGAAUGCAGCUCUAAGUGGGUGGUAAAUUCCAUCUAAAGCUAAAUAUUGGCGAGAGACCGAUAGCGAACAAGUACAGUGAUGGAAAGAUGAAAAGAACUUUGAAAAGAGAGUGAAAAAGUACGUGAAAUUGUUGAAAGGGAAGGGUUUGAGAUCAGACUCGAUAUUUUGUGAGCCUUGCCUUCGUGGCGGGGUGACCCGCAGCUUAUCGGGCCAGCAUCGGUUUGGGCGGUAGGAUAAUGGCGUAGGAAUGUGACUUUACUUCGGUGAAGUGUUAUAGCCUGCGUUGAUGCUGCCUGCCUAGACCGAGGACUGCGAUUUUAUCAAGGAUGCUGGCAUAAUGAUCCCAAACCGCCCGUCUUG
rnacentral:rRNA from 1 species